GCAGAGGAAGAUCCAGUAUUGCUUGAUCAGCUUCCUAUUCUUUAUCAGUAUUUAGAAUGUCCAUAUAUUUUCAUGGCAUUUGAAAGUCCAGGUAGCAAUUCUUCCAUCAGUCCUAUAGGUUGCAUUUCAUUCCAGCAGUUGUCUUUGGGCUUUGAAGACUUUUGUCAGACAAGAAAAGAUCAACACCCCUUCCUUCCAUGGAGGAAUGUCUCAGAAUACAUGUAGCAGAAAUAAGUUUGUAUGUAAUCCUAAACAGUUGGGAUAUAGCAGGCUCACAAAAUCAAGAGAAGAAGUGCUAAUGAUGGCCACAAGAGAGUGCAGGCAUGAGUACGCCUUGGGCAAAAGAAGAUAUUUCAGGCCAAUGUGGGCCUUUGGUGAAAGUGCUCUUGUCCACUAUACAGAGAAAAAAGGUGAAAUACUUGUGAGUAGAUGUGGAGUGUUGAUGCUCCCAUAGGGAAAGGAGAGACACUGAAGUUCUUCUAUGAAACGGUGACAUUACAGACCCCAUGGACAGAAGAUGUGAAUUUGAGAACAACUGGAGCAAAAGGUAUCAUUCUGAUGUCCCUCCUAGAGGAAGUUUUGAAUGUGAGACACAGUUAAGUGUUAAUUUUGUGACAUCUUUCAUCAAAAGUAGCAUGGUUCAGAAUCAUUCUUUGUCAAAUAGGUUAGCUGCUGAGGACCUUUUUGAGUGGAAGUGGAGUUUGAGACCUGGGUGCCAGAGAUGACUUCAGGAAUUGUAAUUGAUGGAAAAAGGAAGAUCUUGACGCCUUUAAGAAAGAGAAAACUUUGAGAUCUGAUUGUGCAAAGAAAAUUUUCAUCAAAGGAGCAAGAAAUUCUUCAUAACUUCAACACAACAUGGCCUUUGGGAACAGAAUAAAACACAAAUAAGGAAAGGCGGAAAAUUAUUGACACAUGCACUGUUCUUGGUUUGAAAUUUAACAAUCAUGCUAGUUAUAGGAUACAGCUUUGAAAUUCGAGUCAAUGAGAGGAUGAAAAAUACUGAGGAAGAGUAGGUAAAUUGAAUUCUUGCUACAUGAACAAAAACACUGGAUCUGAAGGUAAGGUACAUUUUAUAUAAUGACCCUCGUCUUCUGACACUAUUUAUUCAAUGCUUUGGUAUUUGUUCGUAUAUUAUGUUCCAAAAACAUAUCAAUGAUUCUGGUUAUUCUUAAUUAAUGAACAUGCAUUUCAGCUGAUUUAAUA